rnacentral:lncRNA from 1 species
UUGGAUCUGAAACAGAUAUUUUGUAAGAUCUGACCGAAACCUUGACCCUUCAAAUUUUCCCAACAUUUCCCUGAACUCUUGAAUUUAUCAAAUCCAUAGUAGCUAGAAAUCCCCCUAAAUCAAUGUUUAAUUCUUUAAGGAACUCGGGCUUUCGUUAUAUCCCUUCAAUGAGCCAACCAUGAACAACUCAUGUUUGGUUUCAGACUAAUUGAGCUUGCUUGAGCUUGAUUUGAUCGUAAUAUAAG